rnacentral:antisense_RNA from 1 species
GAUAAGGUAUUAAUGACUGUGCCUCGUAAUUUGCUGCCAUACACA